AGAGUUUGAUCCUGGCUCAGGACGAACGCUGGCGGCGUGCCUAAUACAUGCAAGUCGAGCGAGCUGAACCAGCAGAUUCACUUCGGUGAUGACGCUGGGAACGCGAGCGGCGGAUGGGUGAGUAACACGUGGGUAACCUGCCCUAAAGUCUGGGAUACCACUUGGAAACAGGUGCUAAUACCGGAUAACAACAAUAGCUGCAUGGCUAUUGCUUAAAAGGCGGCGAAAGCUGUCGCUAAAGGAUGGACCCGCGGUGCAUUAGCUAGUUGGUAAGGUAAUGGCUUACCAAGGCGACGAUGCAUAGCCGAGUUGAGAGACUGAUCGGCCACAUUGGGACUGAGACACGGCCCAAACUCCUACGGGAGGCAGCAGUAGGGAAUCUUCCACAAUGGGCGAAAGCCUGAUGGAGCAACGCCGCGUGAGUGAAGAAGGUUUUCGGAUCGUAAAGCUCUGUUGUUGGUGAAGAAGGAUAGAGGUAGUAACUGGCCCCUAUUUGACGGUAAUCAACCAGAAAGU
rnacentral:rRNA from 1 species